rnacentral:rRNA from 1 species
UACAGAGGGGGCAAGCGUUGUUCGGAAUUACUGGGCGUAAAGGGCGCGUAGGCGGCCUGUUAAGUCGGACGUGAAAUCCCUCGGCUCAACCGGGGAACUGCGUCCGAUACUGGCGGGCUUGAAUUCGGGAGAGGGAUGUGGAAUUCCAGGUGUAGCGGUGAAAUGCGUAGAUAUCUGGAGGAACACCGGUGGCGAAGGCGGCAUCCUGGACCGACACUGACGCUGAGGCGCGAAAGCUAGGGGAGCAAACGGGG